UUACGAGCAGUUCAGUACAAUUCUUUCCAACAUCAAGGAGCUGAAUUCUCAAAAUCAAACUCAAGAGGAAACGUGAAGGAAGGCAGAAGAAUUAUUUGGUGAAUUGCGCAAAGAAGCCAAAUAAACCAAACUGUGGAAAUUGGAUAUUAGGAGAUUGGAUGGGAGUGAAAGAGAAGUUAUUGCUAGUCACUGGGCACACCAUUCUCUCUAUGAUGUUACAGGAUCUGAUACCAGAAGUUGUUACCCCCAAUCGUUCCAAGCGGUCAUUAAAAUUGUGUAUAUUUUUGGUUGAUGUAUGAUCUGUGAUCCUUAUUGUGGAUUACAAGUUUAUUUCCCCAAGUGAAAUACACUGGAUAUGAGUAUAUGACAAUUUUGGAAUUUGUGA